rnacentral:rRNA from 1 species
CAGUCGCCACGGGAAUACGUAGGGUGCAAGCGUUAAUCGGAAUUACUGGGCGUAAAGCGUGCGCAGGCGGUGUUGUAAGACUGAUGUGAAAUCCCCGGGCUCAACCUGGGAACUGCAUUGGUGACUGCAACGCUGGAGUGCGGCAGAGGGGGAUGGAAUUCCGCGUGUAGCAGUGAAAUGCGUAGAUAUGCGGAGGAACACCGAUGGCGAAGGCAAUCCCCUGGGCCUGCACUGACGCUCAUGCACGAAAGCGUGGGGAGCAAACAGGAUUAGAUACCCCCGUAGUCCCUGUCUCUUAUAA